AAGACCUUGCACUUUUGGAGCGGCCGAUGUCUGAUUAGCUAGUUGGUGGGGUAAUGGCCUACCAAAGCUUCGAUCAGUAGCUGGUCUGAGAGGACGGCCAGCCACACUGGGACUGAGACACGGCCCAGACUCCUACGGGAGGCAGCAGUGGGGAAUUUUGGACAAUGGGCGCAAGCCUGAUCCAGCCAUGCCGCGUGAGUGAAGAAGGCCUUCGGGUUGUAAAGCUCUUUCAGCCGGGAAGAAAAGGUUGCGACUAAUAAUCGCAAUUCAUGACGGUACCGAAAGAAGAAGCACCGGCUAACUACGUGCCAGCAGCCGCGGUAAUACGUAGGGUGCGAGCGUUAAUCGGAAUUACUGGGCGUAAAGGGUGCGCAGGCGGUUUUGUAAGUCAGAUGUGAAAUCCCCGGGCUUAACCUGGGUACU
rnacentral:rRNA from 1 species